GUUGGGCUACUCAUAUUUAUGCCUGUUGAACUUGAUUUAUAAUCACUGCAAUCUUUGAGAGAGAGAGAGCCACUGUUAAGUUCACCAAUGAAGAAGUCUGUUGUUGACAACCCAUGGGCUAUGAAUUAAAUAACAAUCUAUGUAAUUUAUGGCUAAUCAGCACCACGAUUAGCCAUAAAUUACAUAUAUAGCCCAUCCCAAUAGGGGUAUUGGCUGAAUCUUGUCUUCAAAUUAUAUUGUUGUUAUUAUUAUUAUUAUUAUUAGUAUUACAGCCUGUCUGCCGGUAUGUGGGUGGAUCUUAAAAUGUAUGACAAUAGCAGCAGCUGUUUAUAGUUUUCCAAGAAAGUUGUUCUUUGUUGGAUCCACGCCGUCGGUGAUAAGAUGGACGGACGAUGUGGAUGCUGGGACCAUUCUUGACUUAUUUCUACUAAUAAUAAUAAGUUGGUCGCCAUCAAUUAAAUUAAUUAAUUAUCCAACUUGUGAUUAAUUAAUUAAUUAUAACUUCACAUCUACGGCGGGCGUACAAGGUUGACAUCCUGUAGAAGCCCCAGGAAUUGGACUACCGGCCCAAUCCCCACUUGCACUUGCCACGGCGUACGAUCAGGACUUGAGAUCCACCACUUCCCGAUCCCGAUCACGAUCUAUAUAUUAAUUAAUUAUUUAAAGUAAUAGCUGCUGUAUGCUACUCCCAUUCUUCAUCCCAACGGUAAAUCCAACGAUACCUGCCUGCCUGCCUGUUCAAAUCCAAAUCCAAAACAUCUCACGAGAAUCCAUCCCAUUCCAUCUCAUCGAAGCUCCGUUGACGCUCUCGUCCUCGCCGCCGCCGUGCUUUUUCACUUUUUGGUAGGUAGGUAGUUAGGUAGGUGAAGUUACGCGGAUUCGUCCUCCCGCUAUUUUGGACUUGCUGAGCUGAGCUGAGGUGAGGCAGACAACAUUCCAAAUCCUCCAACGAAGAAGCGUCUUCUGCAAUCAAUCGACUCACACACACGAAGACGAAGUCGAUGGAGAAGGAGAAGAGGAAGAAGCUGCAGCAGCUCUACCCUACCGCCUUCUUUUUCUAAUAUAGACCGACCGACAGACAGACAUAUUCAGCAGUCAGUUGCAUAAGGAUUUCCAGGGUAAUGGGGAGCUUGAAGGUGGAGGAGAGAUCAUUGGACGAAGGCGGCAUCGCGAAGAGGCUGUGGAACAAGCUGGAGACCGAGAGAGCUUCGGCUCUCUAUAGCCCCUAUGUGCUCUCUUUGGCCGCUGGGGAUUUGCACCCUAAUUCCUUCCUCCAUUGCAUCUCCCAGGAUGUUUACUUUCUUCAGGCUUUUGCUCAGGCGUAUGAAUUAGCGGAGGAAUAUGCAGAUGACGAGGAGGACAAGGAAGCCAUCGCCGAGUUGCGGAAGCGUGUCUUGAACCGGUUACGGAAUCAAGAUGCUCUUAUUUCGGAAUGGGGCUUCAACCCAUCUAAAGAGACUUCUUGUGACGAUGCUACAGCUAAAUACACAGAGUUUUUGAUGGAAACAGCCUCUGGGAAAGUUGGGGGCGAAAAAUUAUCUGUCAACAUUGUUACGCCUUUUGAGAAGACAAAAUUAGCUGCUUAUACACUUAGUGCAAUUUCACCCUGCAUGAGGCUAUAUAGUUUCAUUAGCAAGGAGAUUGUCGCACUUCUCGAUUCCAAUGAAACUGACCACAUCUAUAAGAAAUGGCUCAGCAGCCUUUCCUCUCCAAAAUUCGAGGCAUCAGCAAUGAGAAUUGAAGAGCUACUGGAUAAAUUGAGCGUAUCUCUGACCGGUGAAGAACUAGAUGUUGUAGAAAGGCUAUAUCAUCGAGCCAUGAAACUUGAAUUGGAAUUUAUCUGGUCUCAGUCUGUUCAUCAGAGAACUGUGGUUCCCUUUUUGAGGCUGCAUGACAACUCUGACAACAGAUUUGUCAUAUUUUCUGGAUUUGAUGUUACGUGUACUUCUAUCGAUUCCUCUGCACUUCUUGCCGAGCUUGCAGUAGUAGCAGCAGCUGCCAAUGCUUCAGAAUCUCAGCUUUUGGAGACACCGGCUGCUGACACCCGAGCGAUGUGGAACAAUCUUUUCAGCCAGUAUGCGGAAGAGUAUCAACAGUGUAUAGAAGGCAUCAUACCAGGUCAAGCAGGCACUGAGAAAACUCUCCAAGAGGGAUACGAUUACGAUGGCCUAUGCAAAACCCUGGAGCAAAUAUCCAACGUUGAGAAGAUGGCUACAGAAAGAGUGAUCAAUUCUAAUGUAUUAAGUGGAUUAAAUCUAGAGGACAUAAAAAGGGCCGGUGAGCGCCUCACUUUACAAGAUGGUUGUGAGAAAUUUGUUCAUGAUGUCACACAAAGUGAAUCUUCCGCACCAGAAGUUCAUAUCCUUUCUUACUGUUGGUGUGGAGAUCUAAUCUGGUCUGCAUUCUCAUCAGUGGAACAAACCAAGUUGAACAUACACUCGAACGACUUAGAAUACAAAGAGUCCAUUUCCACUGGCAAAAUGAUAACGAAUAUGUUGUCCCCAACAGACAAGCUUGAUGCAUUCAACAAUAUCACCAACAACAUGAAUGGCUCCAAGCUCACAACAGUUUACAUUGGAGGCUCAGUAGGUGAUUUGCUAUGUCUAUUAGAAGCAGAUAUUGGCAUAGUCAUUGGCUCAGACGCCUCCUUAACGAAUCUAGCUACUCAAUUUGGCAUUAUGUUGGUUCCAUUGUUCUCCGGCCUUGUAAGUAAACAGAGAGAAGUUACGGAAGGUGGCUAUACAGCUUGCAAGAGCAAGGAUAAGGGUGCGCCUAAUAUUCUUUAUACGGUUUCUAACUGGGACGAGAUAUACAUGUUCGUCUUGGGCCGGUAGAUUUCCACUACAUGGAUUGAUUACUACUUUGGAUGGAGGCUGCAGGUAAGUUCCCUUGACCUGUUUUUAGGUGUUGAGGAAUGAUCUGCCUGUGGCAAGUUUUUAUAAUUUAUUGUGUGUGGAUUGACUGAUUGAUUUCUUCAUCAUGUAGUGUGAAAUAAUGCUACUUACUAAUUUGUGAUAUAGGGAGUUGAGAAUAAUCAUCCAUCAUCAUACACUUGAAGAAGAUGGGUAAGUCUUGGCCAUAAAGAAAUUGGAAAACAGCGUGAGCUGUGCUCCAACCAAAUCUAAUAGGAAGAGAGGCCCAAUGCUAGCCUAAACAGUUUCACCGCUAGCCCAUUAAAUGGGCUGUAGAGAACGCUACUUCGAUUCAAACAUAGUGGAGAUCUCGCUGCAAUAAAUUUGUGGACAACUCUAAUUCGAUUGAACUUUUAAAGUAUUUCAUUUAAAUAAAUUGGACGUAGUUGUUUAGUGGAGAAAAGUAUAUUGUGAUUUUCAUUCAAAUUUAAAACCGGGGGAUAUGGUAAACCAAGGAAU